CUUACCUUGAGCGGCUGAGCCGGUGCCGCUGGCGCUGAGCAGGGCCAGGGCAGGUAGCACGAGCAUUUGCAGCACGUAUCCUAGUCCCAGUCCGCAGCGGGCCGCUGUCGCCCGCAGACCUUUCCUCAUCGUCGAUAGAGGUGUGCCGGAGGGAACAACACCGAGAGACGCGCAAACAGCGGAGAGCCCCACUGGGCAGCCGCUGAAUCCGUGCACGGCGAAGCAGUCCCAAGAAAUAACGACAGCCAAACGCCACACUCCACUUUCUUCAAGGGCAGGGGCCAAAGGGGGUGGAGAGGAGACGCCGAGGAGGAGUUUGAAGGUUCCUGUUUCCCUGUGCCUUUCCAACUGACGUCUCCCGCGAGCGACUGCUCUGCCCCCACUUGGGAAGUCCAGGGAGGCGCAAGACCGCCACCUUCUCGGCUCCCCUCAGCGGCAGAAGCAGCCGCAGCUCCGCCGUGCGCCGAGCAUGGACUGCUCUCCGGGUCCCUUAGCCUGUGAGGAACACACACAGGCACCAGAGGGUGGGGGAAUGUGGGGAAAGUGGGAGGAGAAGGGAGCGGACGGAAGAAGCUUGGGCACGGUGAGGCGCUCCCGUCUCCAAUCUCAGUGGUCUCGAGCAAGAGAAGAGACGCCCCGAUUCCCGGUGCUGGGUGGCCAAAGAGUCACCUCCUAGAGUGGGACGCACGGGUACUCGGAGGCGCUUGCCGCGCCAAGAAGGCGUGGAGGGCACAGCCCAACUCUGCUGGGGGUAAGCGGCAGCGGGAGCGCGCCCGCCCGCCUUAUGUAAGCAAGGAUGGAAGGAGAGAUGCACGCCUAGUUGAGAAGGCGGAGACUGCUGUUGGUUUACUCACUGGAGCCAGGGCGAGAGACACCUGGGGGCAGAAGCGGCCGCGGCUAGGGGGAGCGCUCCUGCCUCCUGCGGUGCGCCAGACUUGGACUCUGAGAGCGCAGCGGGCGCGCCCCGGGCCACUAGGCUGUGUCCAGUGGAGCUCAGCCUGCUGCCUGCCAGCUUCUCCACCACGCCUGCAAACCCCGAGCCAGACUUCCUGGGACUGGACGCGCCCUGGGACUUCGCGUCUUAAGGUUGAUUAGGUCGGCUGCUGGCUCGAACUUGUCCUCAGCGAUGGAGAAGAAGGCAAGAAGCUUUCUGCAGUGUUCUAGCCCACCCUUUGGGUUGUCAGCUGCACUCAGACUGUUUUAUGCUCUGAAAGCUUAUGACCUCUUUGCAGUGGAACAGAAACUAAAAAGCUCAACGAAAACUCCUUCAAUAGUGCUUUCUUUGCGUGCAUCUUGGUGGCUGGCAAGGUGGAGUAUGUAAAAGGUGGUGAGGCAAUAUCAGGAGGAGCUCUCCCAGAAAAAAAGGCAGAA
rnacentral:lncRNA from 1 species